UUUUUCUUCUCCCAUAAAUCUCUAUAAGGGAACCAGAUUUCUGGGAAAAUAUAAAAAAGGCUCUGGCCACUGGGGAGAUGUGACAGUGAACUGGUCUCUAUUCUCACAUAUCGCCUCUGCGUGUCUGUGUGUGUCUGUGCGUGUGCGUUUCUGUGUGUGUGUGUGUGUCUGUGUGUGUGCGUGUCUGUGUGUGUGUGGCACAAGUUGGGACACAGAUCUCAAUACAACAUAAAUGACACAUAUGAAUGUGAUUUAAACACAUAUAAACACUGUAGUUAUGAUUUAUUGACACUGCUAAUUAUCAAACUGCUUUCAGUUUCCUGUGUGUGUGUGUGUGUGUGUGUGUGUGUGUGUGUGCGUGUGUGUGUGUGUAACAUUGCAGUCAAAGAUGCCUGAUUAUGCCGCAUCCUCAACCAAAAAAAAAAAAGAAAAUCACAUUUAUGCUGAUUCUCGCCGUUUCUUUUCUGAAUCCUCUGAAUCAUUUAUAAAGGACGGAGAGAUGGCGAGGGGGAGGUGUGGGGGGAGGGAGGCAGGGUGAGGGGGGGUGUAGGGAUCCAAAACACCCAACACAACAAACACUUUCUUGUGCUUCUACACGCUGAUUGCAAAUUGCCCGUCUGUGUUUGGUAACGGUUCUGUUCAUGUGGCCGACGCCAGAAAGACGUCGCGUAUCCGCCGGCUGGCUCUGACCUUUGACCCCUCCGGCCGCUCCUCGUGAAGGAGGGGGACGUUUCUUUAAGCGGAGGGUCAAAGAGGAAUAUCGACUACACGCUGAAUGACAGGAAGUCCGUGACGUUUGCGUUGAUGGAACAACUAUCAAUGACAUGUCGUCUUGUCACUGAAGUUCAUUUGUCCCUUAAUGUGGUUUUUAAAAGUCGCCGUUUCAACUGAAUGUGGCGAGGUUUUUUUUUUUUUUGGUCAGGUGACUCGGGGACCCGUUGAACCGCAGCUCUAUUUCUCAAACGAGGCCCUCAGAGCCGGAGGCCGGUCUACUCAGCCGACCCGGGGGGGCACUCAUAUAAAACAUUAUUAUUAUUAUUACUGUUCCCCCCCUGGAAGCCGGUUACGGCGGCUCUGAAAACUCAUUUCCCUCUCGUCUUGUCCGUGAAUACCUCCCGAUAGGCCGAGGGAGGGAGAGAGGAACAAUAACUGCAUCGCGUGUGACGGGGAAAUGAAUAAUUUCAACCGCCUGCACGCGCGUGUGUGUGUGUGUGUGUGUCUUGUGGGGCAUUGUGUGUGUGUGCGAUUGGCCGUUGUGAUACAUGAGGCACAGAUUGGUGCAUCGAUCUUGUUUCCCCAAGAAGAAGACAGAGAGAGAGAGCGACCAGGUUACUGAUGACUGAAUUUUGUCCCCCAAACUGCACGUCAACAUUCAUAACGAAUCAUAACGAGCAGAAAAGCUCUUUAAAAGCAGGAAAAACACAACAACAAAGAGAAAGUUGGACGAGGAUCCUGAAGAUCACGACGUAAUGAAGCCGUGGUUCACACGCUGGAUAAACAGCUAAAAAACAACCAGACUCCAUUGAAGAAAACAGCACUUUAAGCUCCUUCCACCGUCGCUUCAUUCAAACUCGACAGAAACAAAGCGAAUGAAAACAUUCUGACCUCCAACAGUCACUCUGCUUCGUCCAGAUGGACUUCACAUAUUUUAAUAAAAGCCCUUGAACAUCAAAUAUGGGUUCAGAAGCAAUUUCAAGGGGAAAAUAACUGAAGGUUAACCAGCAUAUUUCCACUAUUUCUGAUCCCGAGGAAAGGAAGAACAUCCUCUGAGGAAAGGAGAUACAUACUCAGAGGAAAGGAAUUGAAUCCUCAGAGGAAACGAAAUGAAUCCUUAAAGGAAAGAAAUAUAUGAAGGGCCGUGCACGCUCCAACCUGACUGCUUCAAAGGCUCUCAGUGUGUGUGUGUGUUCUCCACUUUUCUUGCACGCAUGCAGAUGAGGGUGUGAUCCUGCAUAUAAGCACUUCUGUGUGUGUGUGUGUGUGUGUGUGUGUGUGUGUGUGUGUGUGUGAGUGGCGUCCCUUGCACAGGAAGUGCUGGUGCUGGUUGGUAAACAGGAGUGACUGUGAAAAAUGGGGAGGUGUGUAUCAAUACGUGAACAGUGCACAACGCCACGAGUACUGCCAUAUAUAUAUAUAUAUAUAUAUAUAUACACACUGUAUACAUGUGUAUAUCAGAAGCAUGUACACAGGAUCCUGCAGAGAACAACACAAACACCUGCUGUUGAUGUUUUUAACAUAUUUAUCCACAUUUACAAAGCGCCGAAUAUUCUCACCUGCCAGCUGUCCGACUGAACCGCGGGCUGCAUUUACAUGCACAUUAAUAACCCCAUUAUUCCGUAAUUAGGCCAAUAAUGAGGGUAAGAGCCCAUGGAAACAACAUCUGAUUACAUGCAUAAGGAAGCGUCGUCGCAGGAACGCGUGCUGGCGUCUGUGGGAACGGAGCUUUUCCAUCAGGAGGACCACCAGAGGACACAAGGGGACACGUUUCUGAGGAACCUUUGAGGGACCCAUUAGCUCCUCCCCUCACAGAGAGGGACCCAUUAGCUCCUCCCCUCACCGGGUCUGCAGCCUGGAUGGCCUCCAGGAGCCAACCAUCAAGGAGAGAACAUCCGGCCGAGGGAUGGUUGGAGUUUAUUUCACGCUUUGUGUACGGAGAACGUUCUCAUUAGAACUCCGUCUUUUCCCGUUGGAGCUCAUCGUGAAUAAUGUGCCGCUGCACCGAAGGCUCCAAACGGAGUUCUUCUGUUCUGAGAGGAACAGAACGCGAUGGAAGGAGGCGGCGUGGACCUGCUGACGGUUCCUACACCGAUACCACGGCUUGAAAACGACACACACACACACACACACACGAGCCUCCUCUCCCCCCGACCGGCUGAGUGGAUGCAGCUGUUCCUUCCCCUUCUCCUCAAGUACUUUAAUUACAUUUCAGAUCUCACAUUUGAGGCAUUUAUCUGGUCAGCGUACAAUGAGAGCAACAGCAGAUUAAGCCCGGCUUGACAAGCUCCUCCCACUCACACGCACGAUUAGCAUACUGUUACUGACUGAGAAGUCGACACAUUUUCUAACGAUGCACAGCUUCUCGAAACAAACGAGAGCGCAAUCGUUCUGUUGUUUAGCAGACUUUAUUUUGGGGGGGGUUCUCCUUGAAGAAAGCUUCUUCUUAUUUUAAUCUAUGUCACUGAAGCAGGUUCACUCCCCCGAAUCGACACCUGACCCCUCACCUGACUCAGCACGCAGGUAUGACAACAACGAUCGAAGACUGUGUGAUGUUAACGCUACUUUAUUAUAUAUAGAGAGAGAAAUGGAUUCUCUCCAAAAUACAUGUGUGUGAGUUUGUGUGCGUGUAGUUCAAUAAUAAACGAGGUAAGCGAGGCCGAUCAAUACAAUUCAUCCCACCAGACGCACACUUCACACUUCCUGCAGAGCACAACAUGGGCCGACACCAGAAUGAACCCACUUACCUUCGCCAGAGGGUGUUUGUGUAUUAUUAUGGGAAUAUAUUAUGAUAUACAUGGGAGUACAUAGCUUAGUACAACCGGGAGGAUAUUUGUGCAUUUACUUAAGUUCUAACAGAAGUGUCUCAGAUUCAUCUCAACGUUUCAGAGGAAACUUUCUACUUUUUUCACAAAUCUGAAUACUUAAUCUUAAGAUCACGAAAAAGAAAAGUCAUAAAAUGAAACUAUCUGCUUUUUUACAACAAUCAUCACAACUCGUCCACCAUUCUCUUCUGUUAGGAACAUUUUACUGAUCAUUUAUUCGUAGUGGCGCUGCUAUAAUCAAGACUUUUGACUUGUUAUUUUGCAGCAUGAAUUACAAACUAUCCUCCAGGUUUGGAUAAAAGGACACAUAUCUGGGGACAGAAAAACAUCCACUAAUACGGACAUAAACUCGUGAUAUUACGGGCGGUGCAGCCUGCGGGGACACUGCUGUUAACUCCACACGCACACACACGCACGGAAGGACAGGUUGUGUCUCUACUUCACCUGGUUGGACACCGUCUCUCCGCCUCCUCCUCCUCCUCCUCCUCCUCCGCCUGCACCGGCACCGAGCUCCGGUAGCCCCCUCCGGCUCAGCGCCAGCAGGUAAACCAGCGCCCCCAGCCACACCAGCACGGCCACGGCCACCGCCAGCCGCCGACAGAGACGCUUCAUUUUGCGGCCGGGAGGAGCCGGCGGCGCCGCUGCGCGGCUCUCCGUCAGAAUCCCAUUUGUAACAGAAGCGAGGGGAGAAGAAAAAGCACCACCACAAGCGGAGGAACCGGAGGAACCGGAGAAGCUCCCGGGAGUGAAGACAAGUCGGUCCCGGUGAAACACUGACUCCCCCCUCUCCCUCCCCUCACUCUCUCUCCCCCUUCUCCCUCUCUCCCUCACUCUCUCUCUCUCUCAACUCACAGAGAGGCUCGAGCGCUCCUCUGACUCGCCUGGUUGCUCAGUGCGCGUACGCGCGUCCGUCCUGAAGCCGCGUGGAGCUCCACCUGCCGACACACGCGCACGCGCGCACACGCCUCCCCGACUGUCAUGAAGCGGAGCGGGGACGCGCGGAGGGAAUCUUCCCUUUAGCGGUGACGAAAGGGAAUAAAGAAUAAAACAGAAUAUAACAGCGGAUUCAGCAGACGGACAUUAAUCAUUUAGGUUUCUUUUCGGAGCAAACAGGCCGAUUCAUUUAAAUGUUUUCUCAACUGUUCAGACAGUUGAGCAGCGGGUGCGAUGAACCCAGGGCUCCCAGUAAGAACCCGGUGGGGGUUCAUUGGGCAGACUGGGAGAAGUACCCGCAUGUUUUAUCUCAAUAAAUCAUGUUGCAUGUUGUGUUAAACAUGCGGAUGAGACUGAGAGGAACUGUCUUAGUGCGCCAUCUAGUGGUCACAUUCUCUCCACAUGUGGAGACUUUUAAUGAAGAAAUGAGUCUUUCUAGUCAUGGAUGUGUAAUGUUCAGUUCACCACUAAUACAUGAGGAUGAUGUAUCGUGGAUUAGCCCGCCAGGUAGAAUAUUAACCAGCUACAACAUGAGGGAUGCUCACAUAUGAAUGCAUCAGUAACCUGAAUAAAGAAUCCUUUUGUAAAUGAAGCACACUGAAUAUACUAAGAGAAGCAACUUUCAUUUAAUUUUAAAUGAGUUGUGGUAAAGAUAACUACCCCCCACCCCCUUGUUGUUUCUAUAUUUAAAGUCAUGUUUGCAUAAACUCACUUUAGUGGAAACUAAAUUAAUUCUUUAACCACGAAAGCCAAUUAGAGCUCAUCAAUCGCUAUGGGAGAUUAUCGUAGUGUGACCUCAUUACCUUUAAAUGAUCAUUACGACCAAUCGGCAGCAUUAAACUAUUUCUGCUCCGUAGUUUAUUAUUAAAUGUGACCAACAACAUAACCUACAUGGUAUAAAUGUAAUGUAAGAUGUAAUAAAAUAAACUGAUGGAUGUUCUGGCAUUUUGUUCAUAGUUUAUUGUGAGAUAAAACCUAUUCAAACAGAACAACACAGACACACGUCCUCUAAUCCAGUUUAUUUUCCUCAGCAGAAAAUGGAACACCAUCAAAUUAAAAAGGAGAAAAUAGGACAGAAUUAUAUUCUUGCUUUUUUUAAUACAUUUAACUAAAUAUGCCACUCUAUGCUAAGGUGUAAGUAACUCAAACUGAUAUAAGGUUAAAUAAUUUCUCUAAAAAGGUACAGAAAGAUAUUCCAUUUCUUCCAUUUCUCAUUAGCACUAAAAAAGAAAAGAAAGAGGAACAAGUUUUCCAGAAUAUCAAAACAAGAAGCAGAGCUCCCGGCGUCCUCGCUGCGUUCUCAUUGGAUAAGAGCAACAAACAGGAAGUCCUGAUUAGCAUAGUUAAGUGGUGUCUGGUUAUAAGGGCUUCCUCCCCCCUCCUUCCCCUCCCCCAUGAGGUCAUUGGUAAAGAAAAUAAAAAAAUGAUGCCUGUAGUUUAUUUUGACAUUGAAGGAAUUCAUCAUCAGAUUGCAUUUUUAAUAAAGAUUUCCGUACCGCCGUUAAACAGAAUCACAACGUGAACUUUGAUUACCCAGAAAGGAAGGAAGUGAAAGAAAAGUGGAUUUUGGUGGAAUCCGCCUUUAGGAGAGCAAGAGGUUUGUAACUGAACAACAGUCCAAUGCUCGAAUCAGAUGAAGAUGAACCAAAGGUUUAUGAUGACGACACAACCCAAACGAAGGAGUCCUUCU
ensembl:lncRNA